rnacentral:rRNA from 1 species
GAUGAACGCUGGCGGCGUGCCUAAUACAUGCAAGUCGAGCGAACGGACGAGAAGCUUGCUUCUCUGAUGUUAGCGGCGGACGGGUGAGUAACACGUGUAUAACCUACCUAUAAGACUGGGAUAACUUCGGGACACCGGAGCUAAUACCGGAUAAUAUUUUGAACCGCAUGGUUCAAAAGUGAAAGACGGUCUUUCUGUCUCUUCUAGAUGGUUCCGCGCUGCAUUAGCUAGUUGGUAGGGUAACGGCUUACCAAGGCAACGAUGCAUAGCCGACGUGAGAGGGUGGUCGGCCACACUGGAACUGAGACAGGGUCCAGAGUCCUGAGGGAGGCAGCAGAAGGGAAUCUGCCGCAAUGGGCGAAAGCCUGGCGGAGCAACGCGGCGUGAGUGAUAGAGGUCUUCGGAUCGUAAAACUCUGUUAUGAGGGAAGAACAUAUGUGUAAGGAGAUGUGCACAUCUUGACGGUACCUAAUCAGAAAGCCACGGCUAACUACGUG